CUUUCUGAAAAAGGCCUUUGUACCUUGUAUAACAUGUUUGAAAACAUCUCCUUCAAAGGAAAAGGACACGAGGCAGAGGACCUUGAGGCUCUUCUGGAGGGCUUUCGGGGCUGGGCACGCCAGCUAUGUCCUCAGCGUGACUUUGAGGACCUGGCCACACACUUGGAGGAAAUGGGAAGGCUCUCACAGGUUCAGUCCCUGGUUCCUGCCCUUCAGACUUGCUGGAGAGACAUGCACUGGGGCUUGGUGUCCUCAUGGGGCCCGACAGACUGUGCUGGGAGUGAGCGCAAAGGUGAGGAGAGCCUAGAGAUGAUGGCACUCG
rnacentral:lncRNA from 1 species